GCCGUUUUAGCUCAGAUGGAAGAGCGGCUGAUUUGUAAUCAGCGGGCCGUGGGUUCGAAUCCUGCAAACGGCA
rnacentral:tRNA from 1 species